CCUACUUCGGCGACACAACUUCACAGCCAUAUUAAGGAUACCUGUCAGUACGGAUAUUACGGCCUGCCUGAUGGUAUUUGCCUGGACUUGAAUCGCCCUUGCGUUAGCUUAUGCUGCAAAGCACCAAGUUCUCAACUUGCAAUUAGUGGGUGCCCUCUCCCGGAUGACUUCGAUAAUAAAACAUUGGAUGGAUACGGCUAUUGGCCCAAUUGCUGCGUUAAAAGAACCUUCUUACCACAACCACGACUACCUCCAGUUGCUUUAUACUAUGCUUACAACGGAACGUGGAGAUACCGCUACGAAAACGCUCCAACUGCUGA
rnacentral:lncRNA from 1 species